GACGAACGCUGGCGGCGUGCUUAACACAUGCAAGUCGAACGGAAAGGCCCUGCUUUUGUGGGGUGCUCGAGUGGCGAACGGGUGAGUAACACGUGAGUAACCUGUCCUUGACUUUGGGAUAACCUCAGGAAACUGGGGCUAAUACCGGAUAGGAGCUCCUGCCGCAUGGUGGGGGUUGGAAAGUUUCGGCGGUUGGGGUUGGACUCGCGGCUUAUCAGCUUGUUGGUGGGGUAGUGGCUUACCAAGGCUUUGACGGGUAGCCGGCCUGGGAGGGUGACCUGCCACAUUGGGACUGGGAUACGGCCCAGACUCCUACGGGAGGCAGCAGUGGGGAAUAUUGCACAGUGGGCGGAAGCCUGAUGCAGCAACGCCGCGUGCGGGAUGACGGCCUUCGGGUUGUAUACCGCUUUCGCCUGUGACGAAGCGUGAGUGACGGUAAUGGGUAAAGAAGCACCGGCUAACUACGUG
rnacentral:rRNA from 1 species